rnacentral:tRNA from 1 species
AAACUAUUAUUUUUUGUUUUGAAAACAAAAUAUAAGAAAAUAUUUCUUGUAGUUUU